rnacentral:rRNA from 1 species
ACUCCUACGGGAGGCAGCAGUGGGGAAUUUUGGACAAUGGGCGAAAGCCUGAUCCAGCAAUGCCGCGUGAGUGAAGAAGGCCUUCGGGUUGUAAAGCUCUUUUGUCAGGGAAGAAACGGUGAAAGCUAAUAUCUUUUGCUAAUGACGGUACCUGAAGAAUAAGCACCGGCUAACUACGUGCCAGCAGCCGCGGUAAUACGUAGGGUGCAAGCGUUAAUCGGAAUUACUGGGCGUAAAGCGUGCGCAGGCGGUUUUGUAAGUCUGAUGUGAAAUCCCCGGGCUCAACCUGGGAAUUGCAUUGGAGACUGCAAGGCUAGAAUCUGGCAGAGGGGGGUAGAAUUCCACGUGUAGCAGUGAAAUGCGUAGAUAUGUGGAGGAACACCGAUGGCGAAGGCAGCCCCCUGGGUCAAGAUUGACGCUCAUGCACGAAAGCGUGGGGAGCAAACAGGAUUAGAAACCCUGGUAGUCCCA